GUGAAUUUACUACUAUUAUUAUUAAAAAUUUUCAAGAACUGGAUUAGCAGACGCCAACCGUUUUAUAUUGAGAAACUGGUCAGAAUAAUUAAUACGUUUCACCAUAUUCUCUUUCUAGAAAAAGUGCAAGAUGGAAAAUUUAUCUUGUUAUCGUACGGAAAAAUGAAACAUUGAGCUGAUUUUUUCCAUCAUGGCCACCGUUUUUCUCCUAUGUGUUUGGCAAACCACAAUGCAUUCAUCCACUGUCUCCUUGUCUUCUAUGUCAGGCAAGAUCUAAAAUCUUUUUGUCAGGCCACGACUACGUUGUUUGUCCGCCAUCUCAGCUUGAUUUGCCGCCUUGCUCCUGCUGUUGCGGACUAAGUAUGAUAUCUGAUGUUGUCGAUGCUACAUUGUGGCAUCAAGCGCUGCUGUUUUUAUUUUGCCAAUGCCGUCUACGAUGAUAGGGUGUGACCUCGGACAGUGUGGUGUGACAAUACUUAGCGACGAUCGGACGAUCUCGGACGUCGAUGCAUUUUUGUCGUUAUUUUACUGUUUGUUAUCACUGUCCUUUGCGUACGUUUGGCUCCUUUUUACUCCUUCCAAGUUUUGUUUGAUCCAGCGUCGUGCAAAGGCGUCGAAACACUUCAGCUGCAGGCUCCGAACGGUAGGCCGAACGGGAAGGCGGAAAGGCGACGCUGGCUGCGAACGGGCGCAGAACGUGAUCAGAGACCGAAAAUCGGCAUUGCAGUGGCUACCGUGACGGCCACGCUCAUCGACGCUGAUGCAGCCACCAAAAGCAGGAAACAAGUACGACCCGCUCCGCGGAAGGGUGGAGAAGAGGUAAGAAGAAAUCGAGAGCAAUCAACGCGUAGCCAGACAAAGGAUAGAACAGUAGCGUUAACGUUGACGUCGGAUGUCGGAAGACGCGGUGAAGGGAGCAGGGAACGAAGCGAAAAGGGGAGUGAAGCGUGUCUUGGAGGCUGCCGCGCGACGCGGACAGAAAAUGCCAAUUUGUUAUGGUUCGACAAUAUUUGGCAGCUAGCGGUAAUCGUUUAGAGUGCGCAACAAAUCAAUUCCAAAGCCGCGCAAGGAACAAUCAGCACGGGCACUUAAGAUCGAAGGAGAUGCAGAGGACAAGGCCACAAAAGAAUAAUCGAUUCGGAAGGUUACGUGAUGUUUCCGUACAGGGUUAGUGAUUGGAUUCACUCUGCAUCUUCCGCUAAACUGUGGCAUUAAGAGCUGAAGAAGCUUUUGGAGUGGCAAAUGAUGCGCAGUUUCAAAGUGCAGCGAAAUUGGGCAUAGACAAAAUAAGUUUGCAAACGACCAAACAAAACGAUCGUUUCAUUAUUGUUGUUGUUGUUGCUGUUCUUGUUCUUGUUGUCCGCUAGAUUUUUUUUGUUGUGUGGGUAUCAACAAUAGUUUUGCUGGAUCCGUUCGUCCUACGAAUGAUGGAGGAAAGCCGACCUCAACGACACUAGGGAGAAGACCAAAAAAGAAGUGUUAUAGUAAUGUGGGCUAAACAAGAAAUUUCAUUGAUGUUCCCAAUGCUGCUAUUGUGUGUUACACUCCUCCUAGCUUCGGAGCGGAGCUCCUUUGCUGCGUCGUCUGCCUCAGUCCGUUAUGUUUAUUUCGCUUGUCGUGAGAUUUCCCCUUCGGCUGUCGAUCACGUUUAGGCUGACACGGGUUCGUCCAUCGAUUCCUGAAGCCGUUCCUGAGUUGACGGUAUGUCAAUGAUGGUGGCCCUGACGUGCGCAAAUAGGCACUGAAACACACAGACCGAUUUAAGGGCCUCGCUAUAGUAGCUAUCACGAUAACACUGUAAACGAUGAGAUUGA